rnacentral:snRNA from 1 species
AUGCUUGUCUUGACAGCAUAUAUAUUAAAAUUGGAACGAUGUAGAGAAAAUUAGCAUGACCCCCCCCCUUGUGGAAGGAUGACAGGCAAAUCUGUGAAGCAUUCUAUAUAUUU